GGUGGUGUAAAAGUACUAACACUAUACGAGAGAGAGAGAAGCAGAGACGGAGAGACGGCGGGCUCUCCUCCUGGUACGUGAACAGCAGCGAGAGCUGGAGCGCUGUGAAGCCAGCAGUCCUGAUACCUCACAGUGGUCCUGCCAAGACAGCACACUACGCUAGCCCAGAGGCCAAACACACACUACAGA